AUGCUAUUCAGGGAUAGAUGCAGGGGUUUGCACCUGAAUUUUCUGGUACGAGAAAGGUACAGUAAGACUGGUACACUAAGAGACUGUGCAGUACCCCAACUGCUGGCUCCCCCACAUUCAUGUGAAGUCAUGCAAAUGGUCUCGCUGUGAUCUGCUGCUGCUGAAGGGGAACACACUGCCUUUCCUGCCACUACUGCUCUCGGUAGGUGACAGAUAAGCUGCGAGUGACAUAUGCCAUCUAACUUUGACAGUAACCAGCUGAGAGUGACAUAUGUCAUCUAAUUUUGACAGUAACCAGGAGUCAGAGUAUUCGGCAGGGCACAGGCACGGCACAGUGUCUGUUCCUGUGGCUUACAGAGAAGACCUGCCUUGAAGCCUGCAAGGUUGUUGACAGAGCAAGUUCUGCACUACCAUCACUGAACUGUGUAGAUACAUCCUAUGCUUUCUGAAUAUAUUGCACGCUUAUUCUUUUAUUCCUAGAGCUGUAUGUAAUGCAAAACCAAAUCAAUAUGCUUAGCUCCUCCCAGAGCACAACAACAUGGCAUUGCUUAGAUAAACUGAUGUCUUGCACGUACAGUGUGAAUCAGGAAGGCUGGAUAAAGGCCUGACCUGUAUAUGCAUGAAAAUGCCCCAGUGAAAGCAAAGUGCUCAUCAACUCAGGCUUGAUCAUUUGUCUGUUGCAGCCCUUUUGUUGGUAACACAGCUCUGUAUGUCUGCCAGAUGUGCAGUGUCAUCAACACCUUUGUCCCUUUAGUCCUUCUGAUCAUUAGAAAAGCCCCGUGAGGCCCCAGUCAUGCUUAAGGUCCCACAGUACUCAGUGCUCUGUUAGUGGCUAGCAGUUAAGGGCCUCUGUCCUGAAGCAUCGUGGAGUACAAACACGUGCCAUGUCAAGCUUCAUCAGCACAGCAGAACUGAAGAGAUUCACGUGUCUGUGUGACAAGAGAAAACAUUGACUGGCCACAGUCACUCUGCUUUUUUUUUUUUUUUUUUUUUUUUUUUUUUUUUUUGCCUGCUCAGUUUUAACUUGUUUUAUAGGUGCAACUGAGUUCUCAAGCAGGAUUGAAUUUUCAUGCCUGAAAUGUUUUGUAAUACAUUCAUACUGAAAUAAUAUAUCUUCUAACUAAUGUUGUUAUAAAAGACAUUUAGGUAUCUUAACAGAAAUGUGUGAAGUUGCUUGCUUUAUGGCACUGGUUUUCCCCACAAUAAAAUCCAUCUGCACUUAAAAAGAUAAGGCUUG
rnacentral:lncRNA from 1 species